GUGGGGAAUAUUGGACAAUGGGCGCAAGCCUGAUCCAGCCAUGCCGCGUGUGUGAAGAAGGCCUUCGGGUUGUAAAGCACUUUUGUCCGGGAAGAAAUCUUCCAGGUUAAUACCCUGGGAGGCUGACGGUACCGGAAGAAUAAGCACCGGCUAACUUCGUGCCAGCAGCCGCGGUAAUACGAAGGGUGCAAGCGUUACUCGGAAUUACUGGGCGUAAAGCGUGCGUAGGUGGUUCGUUAAGUCUGCCGUGAAAGCCCCGGGCUCAACCUGGGAAUGGCGGUGGAUACUGGCGGGCUAGAGUGCGGUAGAGGGUGGUGGAAUUCCCGGUGUAGCAGUGAAAUGCGUAGAGAUCGGGAGGAACAUCUGUGGCGAAGGCGGCCACCUGGACCAGCACUGACACUGAGGCACGAAAGCGUGGGGAGCAAACAGGAUUAGAAACCCUUGUAGUCC
rnacentral:rRNA from 1 species